ensembl:rRNA 5S_rRNA 5S ribosomal RNA
GUCUACCAUACCACCACCCUGAACAUGCCCGAUCUCUUCUGAUCUCAGAAGCUAAGCAGGGUUGGGCCUGGUUAGUACUUGGAUGGGAGAAUGAGAGAGACAGAGACACCUGCAGCCC